CCUACGGGAGGCAGCAGUGGGGAAUCUUGCGCAAUGGGCGAAAGCCUGACGCAGCCAUGCCGCGUGAAUGAUGAAGGUCUUAGGAUUGUAAAAUUCUUUCACCGGGGACGAUAAUGACGGUACCCGGAGAAGAAGCCCCGGCUAACUUCGUGCCAGCAGCCGCGGUAAUACGAAGGGGGCUAGCGUUGCUCGGAAUUACUGGGCGUAAAGGGAGCGUAGGCGGAUAGUUUAGUCAGAGGUGAAAGCCCAGGGCUCAACCUUGGAAUUGCCUUUGAUACUGGCUAUCUUGAGUACGGAAGAGGUAUGUGGAACUCCGAGUGUAGAGGUGAAAUUCGUAGAUAUUCGGAAGAACACCAGUGGCGAAGGCGACAUACUGGUCCGUUACUGACGCUGAGGCUCGAAAGCGUGGGGAGCAAACAGGAUUAGAUACCCUGGUAGUCCACGCUGUAAACGAUGAGUGCUAGUUGUCGGCAUGCAUGCAUGUCGGUGACGCAGCUACGCAUUAAGACACUCCGCCGUCGGGGAGGUACGGGUCGGCGAAGAAUUAAAACUUAACGAAACGGAAAGUUAGACGGCGUGAGACGUGCCGAACGGACGACGACGAGGGAGGUAGG
rnacentral:rRNA from 1 species